GUGGUCACUUUGGCAGCACAUAUACUAAAACUGGAAUGAUACAAAGAAGACUAGUGUGGCCCCUAUGCAAGAGUGACAUGCAAAUUCUUGAGAUGUUCUAUAUUUCU